rnacentral:tRNA from 1 species
ACAUGGUUGGCAGAAUAAUGUGAAUAAUUUAGGAUUAUUUUAUGAGAUUGUUAUAAUCUUACCUUGUA